UACGUAGGCAGCGAGCGUUGUUCGGAAUUACUGGGCGUAAAGAGUGUGUAGGCGGUGCUCCCAGUCUGUUGUGAAAUCUCCCGGCUUAACUGGGAGGGUGCAGCGGAAACUAGAGUGCUAGAGGGUGGGAGAGGAUGAUGGAAUUCCCAGUGUAGAGGUGAAAUUCGUAGAUAUUGGGAAGAACACCGGUGGCGAAGGCGAUCAUCUGGACCACAACUGACGCUGAGGCGCGAAAGCGUGGGGAGCAAACAGG
rnacentral:rRNA from 1 species